rnacentral:ncRNA from 14 species
AUCCUUUUGUAGUUCGUAAGCAUGAUGAUUGGGUGUUCACGUGUAUGUGUGAGAUGUGCCACCCUUGAACCUUGUCAAGACAUCGGCACAUUACCCAUCUGAUA